UCGUAACAAGGUUUCCGUAGGUGAACCUGCGGAAGGAUCAUUACAGUAGUCAUCCGGGUUGCCGCAAGGCCUCCCGGGUAACCUACCACCCUUUGUUUAUUACACUUUGUUGCUUUGGCAGGCCUGCCCUCGGGCUGCUGGCUCCGGCCGGCGAGCGCCUGCCAGAGGACCUAAACUCUGUUUGUCUAUAAUGUCUGAGUACUAUAUAAUAGUUAAAACUUUCAACAACGGAUCUCUUGGUUCUGGCAUCGAUGAAGAACGCAGCGAAAUGCGAUAAGUAAUGUGAAUUGCAGAAUUCAGUGAAUCAUCGAAUCUUUGAACGCACAUUGCGCCCCCUGGUAUUCCGGGGGGCAUGCCUGUCCGAGCGUCAUUACAACCCUCAAGCUCAGCUUGGUGUUGGGCCCCGCCGCCCCGGCGGGCCCUAAAGUCAGUGGCGGUGCCGUCCGGCUCCGAGCGUAGUAAUUCUUCUCGCUCUGGAGGUCCGGUCGUGUGCUUGCCAGCAACCCCCAAUUUUUUUCAGGUUGACCUCGGAUCAGGUAGGGAUACCCGCUGAACUUAAGCAUAUCA
rnacentral:rRNA from 1 species